rnacentral:lncRNA from 1 species
AAAAAAAGACUCUCUCUCUAAAAUCACCCAACUUCUCUCUAGACCUUCAAAAGCUGAUAUCGUUUUCCGGCGGCCGGUAGGCUAAUCGCCACCGGUUGCCAUACUCUUUUGUGUUUUCUUUUUGGUGUAUUAUAUUAUCUUCCGUUAAGCGGAUAAUGGUUUUCGCUAGGCGACUUGUAUUUCGUUUGACGAUUUUGUUGUGUCUUUUCAAGCCAAUAUCGAACUUGUUCUUCAUGAUUAUCUUGUGCUUUCGAUUUGGUUUGAAUAAAUAAGUUUUAGAUAUGUCCAGAAAAUCCUCUUUGCUUGCUUUAAUCAAAAAUCCCGAAGCUAUGUUCUUAGUUCUUCUUUUCUCAUUUUAGCUUGUUUUACUUCAAUGGAUUAUAAAUCUACAUGAUUUAUGGCCACAUAAACUGGGCUUUGCAUGUAGUAUUUCAUUGUUUGCAAAUCAAGAGAUUGGGAGUGUCUUGGCGAUGGUGAGAUCAGAUCAAGAAGAGUUGGGGUCUUAUGGAUGUCCUAACAAAUGAUCUAUAUCUCUUCCUCCUUCAACCUCCCCGGAGAUACGUGAAGAUGGUGACUGAAGAAUAUGGUCAUAUGCCUAGGCAGUCUGCAAAGAGGAUAAUCUCAGAGGAUUUCUGAAGUCUGUUGAUGGUGGUAAAUUGAAGCGGAGAAGACAGCGGUUUAGAGGCGGAGAAGACACCGACUUCGCGGCGGAGGAUACACCGGCAAUAGGCGUGUUCGGAAGUUGGUGGUAGAUGCUAGAUAUAUCUCCUAAAUGAUGACACGUGGUCCUAAUCUCUUUCGGUGGAAGACGCGUAGAUCAAUUCUCAUCUCAUCAAUAUGUUUUCUUACCGAUUAAGUUUAAUAUAUUGGGCCCUUAUGUAGACUUUUAAAUCCUCUGUACCUUGCCCAUUGGGCUUUAUGAAAUGAAUUAUGUUGACAA